rnacentral:rRNA from 1 species
GAUGAACGCUGGCGGCGUGCCUAAUACAUGCAAGUCGAGCGAACGGACGAGAAGCGUGCUUCUCUGAUGUUAGCGGCGGACGGGUGAGGAACACGUGGAUAACCGACCUAUAAGACUGGGAUAACUUCGGGAAACCGGAGCUAAUACCGGAUAAUAUUUUGAACCGCAUGGUUCAAAAGUGAAAAAGGGUCUUGCUGUCACUUAUAGAUGGAUCCGCGCUGCAUUAGCUAGUUGGUAAGGUAACGGCUUACCAAGGCAACGAUGCAUAGCCGACCUGAGAGGGUGAUCGGCCACACUGGAACUGAGACACGGUCCAGACUCCUACGGGAGGCAGCAGUAGGGAAUCUUCGGCAAUGGGCGAAAGCCUGACGGAGCAACGCCGCGUGAGUGAUGAAGGUCUUCGGGUCGUAAAACUCUGUUAUUAGGGAAGAACAUAUGUGUAAUUAACUGUGCACAUCUUGACGGUACCUAAUCAGAAAGCCACGGCUAACUACGUG